CCAGGUCGAUGCACGAGUGGACGGAGCAAGCUCCUAUUCCACCUCCUGGCUCCAAAAAUCCAUUUACUAUAUUCACAGAACUGCAAAAACUCUA